GGAUUAGGCAUGCAAGUCGAACGAGAACGGUUUCUUCGGAGACCAAGUAAAGUGGCGAAAGGGUGAGUAAUGCAUAGGCAACUUACCCCCGAGAUGGGGAUAACCUCUCGAAAGGGGGGCUAAUACCCAAUAGUACCGUGGAUCGCAUGUUCCACGGUUAAAGAUUGCUCUGCUUUCACUCGGGGAGAGGCUUAUGUCCUAUUAGCUUGUUGGUGGGGUAACGGCCUACCAAGGCGAUGAUGGGUAGCCGACCUGAGAGGGUGACCGGCCACACUGGGACUGAGACACUGCCCAGACUCCUACGGGAGGCUGCAGUCGAGAAUCUUCCGCAAUGCGCGCAAGCGUGACGGAGCGACGCCGCGUGAGGGAUGAAGGCCUUCGGGUUGUAAACCUCUGUCACCUGGGAAGAAUGCUACGCGGUGAAUAGCUGUCGUAGUUGACGUUACCAGGGAAGGAAGCACCGGCUAAAUACGUGCCAGCAGCCGCGGUAAUACGUAUGGUGCAAACGUUGUUCGGAAUCACUGGGCUUAAAGAGCACGUAGGCGGUUGGGAAAGUCCGAUGUGAAAUCCCUCAGCUCAACUGAGGAAUUGCAUUGGAAACUAUCCGGCUUGAGUGCAGAAGGGGAGAGUGGAAUUCCUGGUGGAGCGGUGAAAUGCGUAGAUAUCAGGAGGAACGCCGGAGGCGAAAGCGACUCUCUGGUCUGCUACUGACGCUGAGGUGCGAAAGCCAGGGGAGCAAACGGGAUUAGAUACCCCGGUAGUCCUGGCCCUAAACGAUGGGCACUAAGUAGAGGGGUUUU
rnacentral:rRNA from 1 species